rnacentral:rRNA from 1 species
GACGAACGUUGGCGGCGUGCUUAACACAUGCAAGUCGAACGGUAAGGCCCUUCGGGGUACACGAGUGGCGAACGGGUGAGUAACACGUGGGUGAUCUGCCCUGCACUUCGGGAUAAGCCUGGGAAACUGGGUCUAAUACCGGAUAGGACCACUGCCUGCAUGGGUGGUGGUGGAAAGCUUUUGCGGUGUGGGAUGGGCCCGCGGCCUAUCAGCUUGUUGGUGGGGUGAUGGCCUACCAAGGCGACGACGGGUAGCCGGCCUGAGAGGGUGACCGGCCACACUGGGACUGAGAUACGGCCCAGACUCCUACGGGAGGCAGCAGUGGGAAUAUUGCACAAUGGGCGCAAGCCUGAUGCAGCGACGCCGCGUGAGGGAUGACGGCCUUCGGGUUGUAAACCUCUUUCAGCACCGACGAAGCGCAAGUGACGGUAGGUGCAGAAGAAGGACCGGCCAACUACGUGCCAGCAGCCGCAGUAA